rnacentral:ncRNA from 1 species
AUAAAUUCAUCUGACGAGAACAAGUAGUCGUCCGUGGAUCUUCCAGAGAGGCAGUGGCUGGUGGAAACUGUCAUUGAAGCGGAACGGUGAAAUCAUCUCUGAGAAGCAAUCUGAACGAAGUAGGUGCGCCGGGGUUAAGCCACGUUAUCGGUGAUACGCAUUGUCUGAUGCGGUAUAAGAGUCAAGCUGUGCUUGAGAAUUAAGGUGGUACCACGAUUUUAAAGUCGUCCUUUAU